rnacentral:rRNA from 1 species
GUGGGGAAUAUUGGACAAUGGGCGCAAGCCUGAUCCAGCCAUGCCGCGUGAGUGAUGAAGGCCUUAGGGUUGUAAAAUUCUUUCACCGGGGACGAUAAUGACGGUACCCGGAGAAGAAGCUCCGGCUAACUUCGUGCCAGCAGCCGCGGUAAUACGAAGGGGGCUAGCGUUGCUCGGAAUUACUGGGCGUAAAGGGCGCGUAGGCGGACAGCUUAGUCAGAGGUGAAAGCCCAGGGCUCAACCUUGGAAUUGCCUUUGAUACUGGCUGUCUUGAGUUUGGGAGAGGUGAGUGGAACUCCGAGUGUAGAGGUGAAAUUCGUAGAUAUUCGGAAGAACACCAGUGGCGAAGGCGACUCACUGGCCCAAUACUGACGCUGAGGCGCGAAAGCGUGGGGAGCAAACAGGAUUAGAUACCCUAGUAGUCC